AAACAUACAAUUAUUGAUCAUGAGGGCUUUUUAAAGGUUAUAUUGAGGCCAAGGCAAAGGUAGGAAAUUUUUUUGGAAUUUUUGGUUUUUGAAAUUGAUAUAGAAAGAGCAAUGGCAUUUGAUUUCAAAAACAACUUUAUUUUUUUCUUUCUAGGAAGACUUUUUUCUUUUUUAUUUUUCUCUAUUCUUUUCAAACUUUUAACUUUUUAUCUUCUUUUUUGCCUUCCUUUUUUUUUUGUGGUGAGACACUCCCCCACACACUUAUUCAUCACUUUACUUAUAACACAAUCCAUUACUUCU
rnacentral:lncRNA from 1 species